rnacentral:rRNA from 1 species
GAUGAACGCUAGCGGGAGGCUUAACACAUGCAAGUCGAGGGGUAAGCGGGUAGCAAUAUCUGCCUAGACCGGCGCACGGGUGAGUAACGCGUAUGCAACCUGCCCUUUACAGGGGGAUAGCCCGGAGAAAUCCGGAUUAAUACCCCAUAAUUCUGCGACCUCGCAUGGGGAUGCAGGUAAAGCUGAGGCGGUAAAGGAUGGGCAUGCGUGACAUUAGCUAGUUGGCGGGGUAACGGCCCACCAAGGCUACGAUGUCUAGGGGUUCUGAGAGGAAGGUCCCCCACACUGGUACUGAGACACGGACCAGACUCCUACGGGAGGCAGCAGUGAGGAAUAUUGGUCAAUGGGCGCGAGCCUGAACCAGCCAUCCCGCGUGCAGGAAGAAGGCCCUAUGGGUUGUAAACUGCUUUUGUGCAGGAAGAAUAGUAUCCUCGUGAGGGUAUUUGACGGUACUGCGUGAAUAAGCACCGGCUAACUCCGUGCCAGCAGCCGCCGUAAUAC